AAUAAUUGUAUUAUUUAUAAUAUUUGUAACGACGUAAAAAUCUUUACGCCGUUACGCUGACUGCCGCCUAACAGCACGCGGCAGUCAGCUGAGCGCAUACCCCCCGACCUGCGCUGACACCGCGCCUAAACGUCGCGCUCAGCCGAACAUGCCCGACCACCAGGCAACGACGCUCGGGCACAGACGGCCGCUGAGCCGAGCUAGCGGCACCGCCGAAGCCAUCUUCGGCAAACGCCGCAUAAUCACGAUUAAUUCCGAUUAAAAAGCGGAAUUAUCACCGAUUAAGGGCGAAGAAAACCGAAGCUCCAAAAUCUCGGGUAUAUAAUCCCGGCAGAUUUUGACGAAAGGGAAGUCUCCAGAGUUCCGUCUCCGCAGAUAGUUUUUUCCGAGAGAGGAUCAACCGAGAAGCUCCUGCCGAAUUCGACCCCGGGAAGGCAAGAGCUGACCAGCUAGGAUUUAGCACAUCAACCCAGCGCGCAAGGAAUACUCGCACCCUUCGACCACCAAGGCAGUCGACACUGCGGCCGACAAAAACGAGCGCGACGUGUCGCGAUGCGUUCUUGUACCAGUUUUUGCGACCCGUCGUCAAGUCGCGUGCCGAAUCGCCCAAACUCGAGCUUUAAAUCACGGCGGAAACACCAGCAGCGCAUAUUAUAGGAUCGCGCACACCGCGCGAUCACUAAUCGGUGGCUCCACACUCACCGUCUGUAUGAAUCAAGCGCCAUACGAGAUACUUGCGUAAUUAAGCAUCAAGCAAAUCGCUUACUCACAACUGUGACCCCGCGUGGACCGUAGCGACCGCGGAAACAACUCGCACGAUCACCAAACACCCAAACAUUGGGACGUCGCGUCACGGCACGCGGUCGUAACGUGCAAAUAAAGACUUAUUGUGUUAUA